GAGAAGGGUGUCAACGUGAGAGGAUACUUUGCAUGGGCUCUUGGAGAUAAUUAUGAAUUCUGUAAAGGUUUCACCGUCAGAUUUGGACUCAGUUACGUUAAUUGGGAAGAUCUCGACGACAGAAACCUCAAAGAAUCUGGCAAAUGGUACCAGAGAUUCAUUAACGGGACUGUCAAGAAUUCUGCGAAACAAGAUUUCCUCCGCUCAAGCCUAUCUUCCCAGAGUCAGAAGAAGAGGCUCGCUGAUGCAUGAAACACUUUCCACCAUCAAGAUCAUCUCUAUAUCUCUCACUCUUCCUACUUACUCAAUAGAUAAGGAGAUUCUUCGAUCUACAAUGUACUAAAUAAACAAUCUCAAUAAAAAGAUGAUCAGUUAUUAAAUGAAUAAAAAUAAUUUAUCUACAGCUACAUUAUGACAAGUCAAGAGGACGAGGAAAGAGGGGAAAUAACACAAUUUAAAACAUAAAACACUCAGAAAUCUCAAACUAGUCUAGUGUAAAAAAAAUCUUAACGGACGGAUUAGCCUAAAUUCACUAAUUAGUUUAAUAAGUGCAACUUAUAUAAUAAAAGGUAUCUUCAACAUAAUAAAUAACAACCAAACCUAAUACAAACUCAAAAGUUUCUAAACCAAAGUUCUAUAAUCCUCAACUAAAACUUUAUGAGAUCUCACAUAUGAUCUUUUAUCAUUCAUAUAAUUUUAUUUGAUUUUGUUACUUUUUUUUUGGAACAAACUACCUUUCAUCCAAUAAAAUGGAAAUACAAUCUAUCGUGGGAGGAGAGGUUUAGAGUAGCGAAGGAAUUUUGUUACUUAUAUAAUCAAUAAACCCAAAAGAAGCUAAACCGCAAUCCUUUGUUUUUAUUUCUUUGUAUUUCAACAUUGUAUUCUACUCUUGAAUGAUGGAAAAAUAAUAUCAAGAAUUGAUAGUAUCAGAAGUUUCUGAAAGAACAUGUCAUUUUCGGUUUCCUAUAUGGGCAAUUCUCCUAAAUAUAACAUUUUCAAGUUUUGAUCACAAAAAUAUACCACAUGGAGGAAAAUGACCAAAAUAUUUCAUUUAAUAAGUAAAAUGACCUUAAUACCCUAGAUAUAUAUAAAAAAUAAUAAAGAAAUAAAAAAAUAAUUUUUUUAUAGUUUUAGAUUACAUGUUUUCAAAUUCGAAUUUUUUAUUAAAAAAAAAAAAUUUAUUAAAAAAAAAAUUCAAAAUUUUUUUUUAUUUUUUUUCAAAUUUUUUUUUUGUAAUUUGAAAAUACUUUUUGAAACUAUUUAAAUUUUUUUUAUUUUCAAAAUUUUAAUAUUUAUUUUUUAUUUUAUAAAUUUUUAAAUCUCAAUUCUAAAUCUUCACCCUUAACUCUAAACCCUAAGAUUUAGGUUAAUUAACCAUAGGGGUAUAAGUGUAUAUUUACCUAUCUAAUGAAAUAUUUUUGUCAUUUUGAUUCUUAGAGUCUAUAUUUGUGACAUUAACUUUUUUAGUGUUAUAUAUCCUAUGAUAUUUCCCUUCCUAUAUUCUUUAAGACUUUCUGCGGAUCUCCCAAACCAAAAAUAAAGACGUGGUUAGCCAUUAAUACAAACUUUGAAAAGCUUCUCUACGAGAAAGCUAUGGAGAUUUGGUUUGGAAGUAGAUAAUCUUUUUUCCAUGUCUAUAAAUUUGCUAUAGGUUUUCUCUUACAUAAAGGUAGCAUUAGAUAGGUUUUCUCUUACAUAAAGGUAGCAUUAGAUUGUAAAAAGGUUUUUUGAAGUGAAUAAAAUUUAAAAUUCUUUCAAAAAAAAAAAAGCUUCUCUAACGUAAUAGACCAUUUUAAACUCACCAUACGCACUGCAAGUAAUAAAAACUAUCAUUUCUAUUGCAAUAUGUAGUUUUCUUUUUUUUGUAAGUAUGUGAAUUUUUCAUUACUCAAGAUAAUGAUACAAUGAAAUAUAAAUAGAGUUUGAGAGAUCAAAUUCUAAUGCAUCUAGGAUAGCUAAUCAAAGCAAAGGUCUUAGAAAGUCCCCCAAUGAAAUUAAAAAGACUUUCAAAGAUCAAAGACGAAGAAUGUUUAAUCAUCAACUAAAGAACAGUGAAGCUUAACUAGAACAUGAUUUCAGAAAACCAAAAACAGUCCAGGAGUUUGAAGCUUAACAAACUAAUACAACCUCUGUUUCUGUUAUUCAUACCGAAGUCAAUACAAGCAUAUUUAUACAGAGAUCAUCCUUAAAAAUAGGAGAUAACAACGACAGCUAAUAAUAGUUUAUGUUUAUCUAAACUAUAAGUUUAUCCUUAUCUAAUACUCCCUCUCAAGAUGGAGCGUGAAGAUCUCGAACACCCAUCUUGGCAAGUAAGUAGACUAACUGUUGUCGACCAAGAGAUUUAGUGAGGACAUCAGCUAACUGUUCCAUUGUACCAAUAUGAUGAGUCGCAAUAAUCCCAGCUUGAAUAUAGUCUCGAACAAAAUGACAAUCGACCUCGACAUGCUUCGUUCUUUCAUGGAACACUGGAUUGUUUGCAAUAUGAAUAGCCGCCUUACUGUCACACUGAAAUGGAAUAGGAAGACGUUGCUUGAUUCCUAACGAGUUCAUGACACCAAUCAUCCACUUGAGUUCACUACAAGUCAUAGCCAUAGCUCGAUAUUCAGCUUCUGUUGAUGAUCUCGACACUGUUGGCUGUUUCUUUGUCUUCCAAGACACAAGAGAGUUUCCCAUCAUAACAAUAUAACCCGUGAGAGACUUCCGCGUCAAGGGACACGCUGCCCAGUCUGAGUCACUGAAGGCAGAGAGCGACAGAUCACUUGUGGAGCUUAGCAAAAUACCUUGCCCCGGUAGACCUUUCAAAUAACGAACCAACCGAAGUGCUGCUUCCCAGUGCUUUUGUCGUGGUUGUUGGAGAAACUGAGCAAGAAUGUGCACUGGAUAAUUCAACUCUGGUCUUGUUAUGGCCAAAUAAACUAGCCUUCCCACCAAUCGUCUGUACUGAGACGGUUCUGUAUAGUAAGCCCCUUUGUCACGAGCCAAAUUAUGGUACUGCUCCAUUGGUGUAUCCACUGGUUUCGAUCCUAGGAGUCCACACUCAGACACAAUAUCCAGAGCGUAUUUUCGUUGGGACAAGUAGAUACCUUCAUUGCUUCUUAACACUUCAAUCCCUAGAAAAUAUUUCAAACCUCCCAAAUCCUUCAUAUGAAAAUCACGAUGCAAGUGCUCUUUGAACUUCUGAAUCAGUGUAGGAUUAUCACCACCAAUAAUCAAAUCGUCAACAUACACUAAAACAAAGAGAGUAGUGUUGUUGCGAUGUAAUGUGAACAAUGAGUAGUCAAGUCGAUUUUGUUUGAAUCCAAACUCCAGAAGAGACUUAGACAGCUUAGCAAACCAACAACGUGGAGCUUGCUUCAAACCAUAUAAAGCUUUAUUUAACUUGCAGACCUGAUUAGGUUUCGAUGAGACAAAGCCAGAAGGUAACUUCAUGUACACUUCUUCUUCAAGAUCACCAUGAAGAAACGCAUUAUGUACAUCCAUUUGAUGUAGUUCCCACUGUCGAGCAGCUGCUAUACCUAAUAGAAUGCGCACCGUAUUCAUCUUCACAACUGGGGCAAAUGUUUCAUUAUUGUCAACACCUUCUUCCUGUUUGUUUCCACACGCAACCAAGCGUUCUUUGUAUCUCUCCACUGUGCCGUCGGCAUUAAACUUUAUUUUGAAUAUCCAUUGGCAUCCUAUGGCCUGUUUCCCUGGUGGUAAUGUGGUAACAGUCCACAUACCAUUUUCUUCAAGAGCAUUUAUCUCUCCCGAAGAUGCAUCUCUCUAGCGUUUGUCUUUCAUGGCUUCUUUAAAGGAUUUUGGCUCAAUGUGAGACUCAACUUCCAAUAGAAAAGCAUGUACGUGUGGAGCAAGUUUAUCAAAGGAAACAUAUUUAUCCAAUGGAUAGGUACACUUACCUGAAGACGAUGUAUCAGGCGAGUGAGGAGCAUGUGAGGGUUUUUCAUUGAUACGUGUAGUGUAUGUAACAUAAGGACCCAUUAGAACUGAAGUUUUCUUGGUUUGAUGUCCUCUACCCAAUUGUGUAGUCUCUGUCAAAGUCUCUGGCUGUUCUGUCGGGGGAUUUUGUGUUUAUCUUGGUUCUCCACUUGUGUGUGGUUCAGCAAUGGUCGGAGAAAUGGGUUCUGUGGUUGUGUCAAGUGCUGCAGGAUCAUUGUUUGCUGGUGUAUUCAAAACUCCCCCUGUCUCCAAUAUUUCCGUAGAAUGGAAUGGAUCAAAGUCAUCGUCAAAUGUCGCAGGAUGUGUAGAGAGUUGGACUGGUAGUGAAUCAUCUGUGGUUGUAGAUGUCUUGGUUGUAGUAAACGGAAACAUAUCCUCAUGAAAUUCUACAUCACGAGAGACAAAAAAAUUUUCUGUUUCAAGGUCACAAACGACCCAGCCUUUCUUGCCCAUAGGGUAACCAAGAAAUACACACCGAGUGCUUCUUUCAUCAAACUUAUCUUUGCCACGUGCUAUCCGUUGUGCGUAACAGAGUGUGCCAAAUACUCGUAUAUGCUCAUAUGUUGGUGAUUGUCCAUGAAGCAUCUCAUACGGUGUCUUAUUGUGUAAAAUGCGUGAUGGUGUUCUGUUGAGUAAGUAAGUCGCAGCUAAAAUGCUUUCUCCCCAAAAUUGUUUUGGUAGGUUUCCUUGGAGCAGUAGAGCACGAGCAAUGUUAAGUAUGUGGCGAUGUUUUCGUUCGACGCGUCCAUUCUGCUGUGGUGUCUCCACACACGAAGUCUGAUGUAUGAUUCCCUGAGCUGCAAAGAACUCUCGAAGGCAGAUAAACUCAGACCCAUUAUCACUGCGCACUAUCUUAAUCUUUUUGUUAAACUGUCUUUCAGUGUAAGCACAGAACGUUUUCAACGCUUGUGGAGCAGCUUUUUUCUCCAGUAAGAGUAUUGUCCAGACAGCUCUAGAGAAGUCAUCAACAAUAGUUAGAAAAUAUCAUGCUCCUGAGGUAGAACGUUCAUGAUAUGGACCCCAUAAAUCACAGUGUAUUAAGGCAAAACAAUCAUCAACUUUAUUAAUGCUAAUUGGAAACACAGCUCGGGUUUGUUUGGCACGAUGACAAGUACCACAAGAACUCUCUAAAACACCAACACUAUUUUCAAAUCCAGCAACUGAAGAUAAAACUGAAAGAACUGCAGAAGAUGGAUGACCCAUGCGUGCAUGCCACAAAUCUCGAGUCUGAAGUGAUUGUCCGUGAUUUGCUUGAGCCGCAACAGUCCCCAAAUAUCGAAAAACUCCAUUAUGCUCUUCACCCGCACCAAUCAAAGUCUUCGAGGCGAGGUCCUGUAUCACACAAAAAUUCUUAGUAAACAGAACGAAACCAGCAAUAUCGUGAAGUAAUUGUGACACGGACAUAAGAGUUGUUGAAAGAUGUGGUGCAUAAAAGACAUGUCUCAGCAAGAGACGUCCGCCAAGGUUCAGUUUUCCCUGUUUUGUGGCCCAAGUUAUGUUCCCAUUAGGCAACGUGAUCGGACAAGGAGGUAUGGAAAUAACAUCACUUAAGAGAUUAAUUUCUCCAGUCAUGUGAUGAGAAGCUCCUGAGUCGAUGAUAAUGUCGAAUCUGCUGUUUGUGCCAUAAAAGACAAGUUUUUCUGUCUUACCCGAAAGCUUCUCAUUGUUUGUUGAUGCUGAUUUUUGUGAGCUCAUAAACUGUGUGCUGAUUUUUGUGAGAUCAUAAACUGUGUCAAAGUGGCCCAUUGUUCUGGUGUGAGGUUUGGAAUCCCUGAUGUCUGAGUUUCAGUCGAGCCAGAGGAGUCCACAUUAGUGUUGUAUGCACGGAACCCUGAUCCACGACCUCCACGUCCUCUGCCUCCUUGCAUAUCACCUCUUCCUCUUCCUCCUUUCUCCAUUCCUCUGCCAGCUGCAGGUUUGGUAUUUUUGUUUUCUGUCCACCACUCUGGAUACCCAAUGACUUGAAAACAUUGACUUGCUUCAUGUCCUUGCUUUCCACAAUGAGAGCAGACAGAGUUGUUUCACGCAAAACGGACUGCAGCAGCUUGGGCAUUAGUCAGUGACUGUUGUGAUGACUGAGAUGUUUGUGUGGUUGCGGAUAGUCCAAUAACAGAUGUCUUUUCUUCUUGUCGCACAACAUCCAGAUGGCGUUCUUCCUGAAUGAUUUGCGAGUACACAGACUCAAGAUUGAGUUCUGCUUGCCUGCUCAACAGAUUGGAACGAGUUAUACCAAAACGUGAGUUGUCUAAGCCCAUGAGAAAUUGGUGAACCCGUAUCUUCUAUUCCUUCUUCUCAUAUUUGAGCAUUGAAGCACAAUCUGAAUCGCCACAACAGCAUGUAAAACCUUUGUCAAGAUUUGCAAGAUCAUCCCACAAGAUCUUUAUUCUCCCAAAAUAAACUUCCACCAUGUCUCCGUUCUGUUUUCAAGAAGCAAUAUCAGCAUGAAGCUGAUGAAUACGAGUAUCAUCGCUGAUUGAGAACCUUCGUUUAAGGCUACUCCACAUGACCUUUGCACUAUCUACAAGAGAUAUAGACGGACGCAGCUUUGGCUCAACACUGCUGUAAAUCCACCCAAUGAUCAUGGAGUUCACCAUGUCCCACUUCUCUGCAUCCUCUGGUUUGUCAGCAGGUCUCUUUGGUUCCAUCAAUAAACCCAUGUUUUCGUUUUGCUUUCAACGAAUUGAGCAUCAAUUUUGCCCAACGCUCAUAGUUUGCUCCAUUCAAGAGAAUGGGUGUCUGUGCUUGUCCUGUAUUUUCUGAUGGAUGAAGGUAGUAGGGUGAAACAAGCGUUGUCAUGUCAACAGGUUUUGGAUCGGACGCCAUAGUUAAUCAAAGAACAAGAUGAUCAAGAUAAUUCUCACCGCAAUACGAUGGUUCAAGGGUUAAUUAGCUUGGAAAAAAAAAUUAUUUGUGUGGCUCUGAUACCAUAACAAACUAAUACAACCUCUGUUUCUGUUAUUCAUACCGAAGUCAAUGCAAGCAUAUUUAUACAGAGAUCAUCCUUAACAAUAGGAGAUAACAACGACAGCUGAUAAUAGUUUAUGUUUAUCUAAACUAUAAGUUUAUCCUUAUCUAAUAAAGCUUACUCUUGUAGCUGGUACCUGCACCAAGAGCAUUAAACAUCAGAGUAUAUGAGCCGGAGAAUAAGCCUAGGAACCGAAGCUUAUCCCAAAGGCGACUUCGAAAGGAAUCAAAUCGAAGCAGGUUUUACUAAGUCCUGGUCCGGCUAACAUCCGGUGAGGUCCACUCCAGACACGGAACAACUCCAAAGUAACGUGACGGUUCCUUGAAAACCCUAUUCUGAUGAAAAGAAUUCAACAGUUAAAGCGUGGAGUGACUGUGGCAGAAGCAAGACGAGGUUUAUGGCACUCAACUCUGGUUCCUUAACACAAGCCGACCACUCAAAAUAAUUCGGCUUCAAAGCAAGGAAAAGGCAGGGCGCAGCAUCAUUCGACCUCUUUUUGGACCGUUGAAGAACAGGAGACCCGAAAGCUCUGAAAUCAGAUGACUAGAAGAGCAGUCAUGCUUUGGUGUUAAGAGAAUCAUACCGAGGAGAAGUCCCCAACGAGAGCGUCAAAUCAUCUUUUCUCCAUAGAUCCCCGAAAAUAGAAGGAGAAAUCUAGGAGAGCAACCGACUGAGGGGAUAUUUGGAGACAGUUUUUUUCUAACAAGCGAGAAACAAAUAACACUGUGGUUAAAAAAAAAAUUUACAGUGUUUAUCUAUUUGGAUUAUACCUCGAUGGCUGCUCACGUUUUAAAUAUGACGACUGUUUUUUAUGUUUUAAAUACAAAAUUUUAAAUUUUAAUAUAAUUUAGGGUGCACAUGCCGCCACACCCUAUAACCUGCCUUCGCCACUGUCCGUAACUCGUAGCUUAAUGUAGUGCAUUUUUUUUUUUGCUUAAAUGCAGUGCAUUUUUAUACAUGGCAGUUUGCAGAAAGAGCGUGAAAUCUUAGAAAAAUCCAGUGUAAACUCGUAACGUAAAUGUUAUUUAUAUCUAGUAGUUCUCAAAAAAAUGUUACUUACACUGAAACUAUUAUAGAAGGCAGGCGGUAAAGCACAUAAAUUUCAUUAAAUAUUUUAUUUUUGAAAUAAUAUGAACUGUUUAUUUUAAUUCAUGUUUGAAGUCAUAGCUAGCACUGUUUCAGGCAUUUCAAUAGAAGAAUCUUUUGUUAAAAAGAAUAUCUAAUUUUGAAAAACAUAAAAAAAUAAGUAUAGAGCUAAAUUAUUGAAUAAACUAUAUGUUAACACAAGGUUCUUGCAUUGCAACCCUUCCAAUCAUCUAUAAACGAUACAGAAAAAAGCAAAAAAUGUUCUUUCGGAGACUCCGGUCUCAUGUGAUAAAGACAUAUACAUAGAGAGGUCAAAAGAAUCAAAACCAAUAAGAUAUGUUGUGAUUGUUUUUUUCUUUUCCUUUUUUUGAUAUAUUGUGAUAGCGGUGAAGCUCGUGAAAAGUGUGGCCUUGAAUCGGUGUUACUCUAGAUUCAACACUUGAUAAUGUUACGAUAAAAAUCUUCAAUAACUUUAUGGCGUUAUGACGAAGCUUUGAACAUUAUUUACUACAACCAAUCUUGAUAUAUAAUUCUUGUCGUUCAAGUUUCGCGCAAACCUUCGAUAUACACAUGCUGCAUUGCACCACUGUCGACGGAUCAAUUUGUAGAUGUGACACAAUUCGUGUUCCAAGUAGUACGUGUUCAGGUAAAAGGAAGACAAAAUAUGUGCUAUGUAACUAAAAGAAUUAUCUGCAAUAGAUAAUGGAAGACUAAAAAGUGGAAACAAACAAGAAAUAUAAGCAAAAUAGGUGAGCACUGAGCUAAAGUAAGUGAAUCCACGGGAUUCAUCUCACCUAAACCUCUCCCAAAAUAUCAAGAUACUAAGACAAAAAAUACAUACGACACUCUUCUUUCGAAAAGGCUAUAUAAACCCUAGAUGGGCACAAGGUUCCACACAACACAACACAUACAUCAACAUAUUAACCAUGAAGCUUCUUCAUGGACUCGCUUUAGUUUUUCUAUUAGCUGCUGCGAGUUGCAAAGCUGAUGAAGAAAUUACUUGCGAAGAGAACAACCCAUUCACAUGUAGUAACACUGAUAUUUUAAGCAGUAAGAACUUCGGAAAAGAUUUCCUUUUCGGUGUUGCAUCUUCUGCUUACCAGGCAUGUAGCAAAUGUUGUCACACCAUAAUUUUGAAAUAAAAUAUAAAACACUAAAAUGCAACUUUGCAUGGUUGUUUCUAUUCAUUUCAGAUUGAAGGAGGGAGAGGUCGUGGUGUUAACGUUUGGGAUGGCUUCAGUCACCGAUACCCAGGUACGUCAUAGUGUAUAUAUAUACAUGAGAUGAACGUCGGUUUAUAUGUACACGUAUUAAUGUAUUUGUAAUUACUAUCAGAGAAAUCAGGGUCAGAUUUGAAGAAUGGAGACACUACUUGUGAGUCAUACACGAGAUGGCAGGUUAAUACAAUGAUACUCAUACGACUGAACUAUAUAUGUAUAAAAACUAUAAAACUAUACGUGUGGAUUGACAUGUGAUUAAAAUAUGUAAACUGCAGAAAGAUGUAGACGUGAUGGGCGAACUCAAUGCUACUGGCUACAGGUUCUCCUUUGCGUGGUCAAGAAUCAUUCCAAGUAUGUACAUGUCAUCGAUUCGUUUGUAUUUUAACUGGGAUCAUUUAGUUGAAAAAGUACUAAUUAAUGUACGACAUAUCUAUACAUGAGCAGAAGGAAAGGUGAGUAGGGGAGUGAACCAAGGAGGUCUUGAUUACUACCACAAACUCAUAGAUGCACUCCUCGAAAAGAAUAUAACGCCUUUCGUUACCCUCUUUCACUGGGAUCUUCCUCAAACACUCCAAGAUGAGUAUGAAGGUUUCUUAGACCGCCAGAUCAUGUAUGUUUAUAUCUGUGCCAUGCUUCUUAUAUUAUUAAUAAAAGAAGAAAAAGAUUUGGUUUAGUUACAUGCAUUAAUGAAAUGAUUCUAUAUUAAUAUGGUCAGACAAGAUUUCAAAGACUACGCGGAUCUAUGUUUCAAAGAAUUUGGUGGAAAGGUAAAGCACUGGAUCACGAUCAACCAGCUAUACACAGUGCCUACAAGAGGCUAUGCUGUCGGAACAGAUGCACCAGGUCGAUGUUCUCCUAUGGUUGAUACCAAGCACAGGUGUUACGGUGGAAAUUCUUCAACAGAACCCUACAUCGUUGCACAUAACCAGCUUCUUGCUCAUGCCACGGUCGUCGAUCUUUACAGGACCAAAUACAAGGUGAGUUGUCUCAAUAUGUGAUAAAGAUGGUGUAAUGUAAUCUUCUUCUUUUUUUUGAUCAAAGGUGUAAUGUAAUCUAAGAUAUCUGAUUCUAACUUAGUCAUAUAUCACGUGACCAACAGUUCCAAAAAGGGAAGAUUGGACCUGUGAUGAUUACAAGAUGGUUUCUUCCAUUUGAUGAGUCUGAUCCUGCCUCCAUAGAAGCAGCUGAGAGGAUGAACCAAUUCUUCCAUGGAUGGUAUAUAUAUAUAUAUAUAUAACCAAAAAUGUAUCAGUAUAUAUUGCAUAUAUGUAUAAUGAAAAAUAUACAUGGAUCAGGUACAUGGAGCCGCUAACAAAGGGUAGAUACCCAGACAUCAUGAGGCAGAUUGUGGGUAGUAGGCUUCCCAACUUCACCGAGGAAGAAGCAGAACUCGUUGCUGGUUCAUAUGAUUUUCUUGGUCUCAACUAUUACGUCACUCAAUACGCCCAGCCAAAACCUAACCCAUAUCCUUCAGAGACACACACUGCCAUGAUGGACGCUGGCGUAAAGCUCACAUGUACUUGUCUAUUACCACUUAGUUACAACCUUUUUAUAUAUAUAAAUGUUUUAUCUCUUUUUUGUGAGUGACCAUCAGUUAUUUCAUUCUUGUGGUUACAGAUGAUAAUUCACGUGGUGAAUUUCUUGGUCCACUGGUAUAUAUGAAUGGAUCCUCAACUAAAACUUAAUGAGAUCUUAUACCAUCCGCAACGGGGAUUAAAAUCAGUCGGUUCUUGUUGACGUGGAAUCUCCGUUCAAGCCUGACGUCCUCAAAGGUAAGGUAGCUCUCAUCACGGGAGGCGGAUAUGGAAUCGGUUUCGAGAUCUCUUCUCAGUUAGGCAAACAUGGAGCUUCCGUCGCCAUCAUGGGACGCAGGAAACAAGUCCUCGACGCCGCCGUCUCUGAUCUCCGAUCCCUCGGGAUUCAGGUAACCUUUCAGAGAGGAUUUUCGUUUUUGAUUUGGGAUUGAAUAGUAUUCGAUUGCUUGUUGAAUUGCUUGUUCUCUUUGGAAUGUAUCUCCAAGGCUAUUGGAUUGGAAGGUGACGUUCAAUUGAGCUUUGCGUGUCUAUUCACGACAUAGGAUCAGUGGAAGGAGGUUUUGUUUUACCCGGUGAUGGUGCUGCCACCUAUAAGGUACAUUUCAACUUAUGCAUCUUCUUCUUCAUUGCACAUUGUUACCAUCACUGUUUGACACAUCAACGUCUAUUGCAGUUUCUGCAGUGUAUUGAGUUGCAUCUUUUCUUGUGAUUGUUUUGUAGGUAGGUUUUAGAAUUGUAGUGUUUCGUCCAUUCGUUAGUGAAGUCAUUGCUGCAAGGUUCAAAGAAUCUGAUUCCAAUGGAUUGCGCUGUGAGUACUACUACUGUUGUGCAUAAUGAUUACUUAUACGUUUCAAGAACAUCAGCUAUCCACGUGUUCCAACUGAGCGAGGAGAUGAUGGAAAGCCUUUUGCUCCUAUGGUGGUUACUGUAAGUUCUCAUUCUCUGAAGAUAUCUUACUUGUAUUAGCAUAUAAAUAAUGAAACUAGUUGUAUAAAGCCUCCUAAUUUUGUCCUACUGAAGCUAUUCCACUUGUGAAAUGGGCAUGGGACUUUAGAUGAUGAUGGUUUGGGCCAUGUUUCUUGGUGGGAAGGUUCUACUUCUAAUGAGAAUCAUGAAGAUGAUGAUGAUACCUGAACCAAACUUCAAUCUCCAAAUGUAAGACUUCAGGUUCUUAAAGUAGUAUGUUUUUCUUAACAUAGGAAGUUGGAAUUAGACUCCUUUCCCAUGAUUCUAGGAUUAGAUUCCUUAAUUUUGAUUUUAUAUGUGUAUGGAAAAAUAUUUUUCUUAUAUAUAUGUGCAACUCUUUUGUCCUGCUCUCAUGGACUUGAGGAACACUACCCUCAGAACUAUGCGAGUGUCCUUAGCCAACCAAGUAUACCAAGAAGACCAGCAUCAAGUACCUUCGAUUUUCUCUCAAGCCCUACGAAUCAAAAGGUUAACAAGUGUUAGCUUCUUACGCUCAUAGCAAUCAACAAGUCUCUAUUACACUUGUCUCACCAAUGUCAACAGCUACACAAUGAGCACACAUCACUCCUGAGACAAGAUUCAGAAAAUUCAAGAGUUGUGUUUUAUUCCUAAGAACUUCAAAUUGGAGAACACCAUUGGAGAUAGAAUUUUGAUUAGGGUCCUUAACUAUUCAAAAAAAAAUUAGUUUAAUAAUGCUAAGGACUCUAAUGGUAGUAACACCAUUGGAGAUGCUCUAAACAUAUGACAUUUUAUCAUUCAUAUAAUUUUAUUUGAUUUUGUUACUUUUUUUUGAACAAACUACCUUUCAUCCAAUAAAAAGGAAAUACAGUCCAUGAGGAGAGGUUUAGAGUAAUGAGGGAAUUUUAUCACUUAUAUAACCAAUAAACCCAAAAGAAGCUAAACCGCAAUCCUUUGUUUUUAUUUGUUUGUAUUUCAACAUUGUAUUCUACUCUUGAAUGAUGGAAAAAUAAUAUCAAGAAUUGAAGUAUCAGAAGUCAUUCCAAGUAUGUAUUUUAAUUGGGAUCAUUUAGUUGAAAAAGUACUAAUUAAUGUACGACAUAUAUAUACAUGAGCAGAAGGAAAGGUGAGUAGGGGAGUGAACCAAGGAGGUCUUGAUUACUACCACAAACUCUUAGAUGCACUACUCGAAAAGAAUAUAACGCCUUUCGUUACCCUCUUUCACUGGGAUCUUCCUCAAACACUCCAAGAUGAGUAUGAAGGUUUCUUGGACCGCCAGAUCAUGUAUGUUUAUAUCUGUGCCAUGCUUCUUAUAUUAUUAAUAAAAGAAGAAAAAGACUUGGUUUUAGUUACAUGCAUUACUGAAAUGAUUCUAUAUUAAUAUGCACAGACAAAAUUUCAAAGACUACGCGGAUCUAUGUUUCAAAGAAUUUGGUGGAAAGGUAAAGCAUUGGAUCACCAUCAACCAGCUAUACACAGUGCCUACAAGAGGCUAUGCUAUCAGAACAGAUGCACCAGGUCGAUGUUCUCCUAUGGUUGAUACCAAGCACAGGUGUUACGGUGGAAAUUCUUCAACAGAAGCCUACAUCGUUGCACAUAACCAGCUUCUUGCUCAUGCCACGGUCGCCGAUCAUUACAGGAAGAACUAUGCGGUGAGUAGUCUCGAUAUGUGAAAAGGUGGUGUAAUCUUCACAUAUCUGAUUCUAAUCUAGUCAUAUAUAUAUCACGUGUUUAACAGUGCCAAAAAAGGGAAGAUUGGACCUGUGAUGAUAACUAGAUGGUUUCUUCCAUAUGAUGAGUCUGAUCCUGCCUCCAUAGAAGCAGCUGAGAGGAUGAACCAAUUCUUCCAUGGAUGGUACAUAUAUUUUAAAUAUUACCAACAAUGUAUCAAUACAUAUUGUAUGUAUGUAUAAUGAAAAUAUAUACAUGGAUCAGGUACAUGGAGCCGCUUACAAAGGGUAGAUACCCAGACAUCAUGAGGCAGAAUGUGGGUAGUAGGCUUCCCAACUUUACCGAGGAAGAAGCCGCACUCGUUGCUGGUUCAUAUGAUUUUCUUGGUCUCAACUAUUACGUCACUCAGUACGCCCAGCCGAAACCUAACCCAUAUCCUUCAGAGACUCACACUGCCAUGAUGGACGCUGGCGUAAAGCUCACAUGUACUACCUAGACUAUUACCACUUAGAGCAUUAAGUUCUUAGGGUGAGGUUCUUAACGGAAUAUAAGAAACCGUCUCUUAACUUUUAACCAGUGUUUUGAAAUCCGAUCCGGACCCGCGGUUGAACCGGUAAACCCGGUGACCCAGAAAAAAAUCCGGUUUGGGUUUUGUGAAAAACACAAUAUUUAGAAACCCGCAAAAACCCGUAAAAACCCAGUAAAACCCGGAACCCCAUACCGGUUGAACCACCGGUUGAACCAAUAAAUAACUUUAACUUCUUUUUUUAGUUUUUAAUUAUGUUUUUAGAUUAUGUUUUAUAUUAUAAAUUUCCAAUUAAGAAAUUAGGUGAUGAUUAAAAAAAGGUUAGGUUUUCCAUUUUCAAUUUUAUAUUUGUAAUUUUUAGAUUUUGAUGAAGAUUUCACUAUGCCAUCUAAAGAAAAUGAAAUAAACGAUGGCAGAGAGAACCAAAAUUAGUUGAUGUGAUUUGGUGUUAGUUUAUUUUCGUUAUUGACAAUUUAUUACAAUGAUCUUUUACUUUUGGUUUAUUUUGUAUUUGAAGUUUAAUUUAUUAUUCACAUUACACAUUUAAAUAUUUAUAAAUUUUAUGUCUUGAUUUUUUUAGAUGUCAUACAUCUUACCUUAUUAGAGAAAAUUUUAAAUAGUUUAAACUAUUUUUAUUAUAUAAUAAUAUAUCAGCUAUGUAAAUAAAAAUAUUAAACUAAAUUUAAGUAUUUUCUAAAUGUUUUUAAACUUAAAAAUAUAUACAUAUCCAAACUAUUAUUUUACUUUCUUAAAAAACAUUUACAAAAUAUUAAACUUUAGUUUCUAUAUUUUUAUUUACAUAGCUGAUAUAUUAUUAUAUAAUAAAAUUAAUUUAUUUAUUAGCCUGCGGUUCACCCGCGGUCGAUCCAGUGACCCAGCAACCUAGUAAGUCGUCCGAUUCAGUGUUCGGGUCGGGUUUAAAAACAUUGAUUUUAACCGUCUCUUAGAUACAACCUUUCUAUAUAUAUAAAUAUUUUUUUAUCUCCUUUUUGUUACAAUAUACUUUGUGAGUGACCAUCAAUUGCUUUCAUCCUUGUGUUUACGUACAGAUAAUAAUUCACGUGGUGAAUUUCUUGGUCCACUGGUAUAUAUCAAUGAUCCACCCCUAAGAUUUGUUUUUCUUUCAUUAUUUUUCAGUUUUCAAUAUAACAACCCUAAUUAUGUUUUUCUAAUUGAUACGUAUUUUUAUUUACUUCCAUUUUAACAGUUCGUUGAAGACAAGGUAAACGGCAACAGCUAUUACUACCCAAAAGGCAUUUACUACGUUAUGGACUACUUCAAAACCAAAUACGGAGACCCUUUAAUCUAUGUCACCGAGAACGGUGAGUUUAUACAUAAUAAUUAUUGUAUUUUUAUAUUAGUCGAAGAAACUGAUUUUCAAAUAUUGUGGAAUAUUUUUAAUGUGGCGGUUUAUUUAGGAUUUAGUACCCCCAGUGAAGAAACCCGUGAGCAGGCUUUUGCCGAUUACAAGCGAAUUGAUUAUCUAUGCAGCCAUCUGUGUUUUCUCCGCAAGGUCAUCAAGUGAGUAGAUGCUAUACUAUAUGGAUACUUUUCUUCCAAUGUUUAUCAACUUCUUUCUCUUUUUGGUAAUAUAUAUCUCUUGUUUUUAGGGAGAAGGGUGUCAACGUAAGAGGUUAUUUCGCAUGGGCUCUUGGAGACAACUAUGAAUUCUGUAAAGGCUUUACCGUCAGAUUUGGACUCAGUUACGUUAAUUGGGAAGAUCUGGACGAUAGAAACCUCAAAGAAUCUGGCAAAUGGUACCAGAGGUUCAUUAAUGGAACCGUCAAGAACGCUGUGAAACAAGAUUUCCUCCGCUCAAGCCUCUCUUCCCAGAGUCAGAAGAAGAGGCUCGCUGAUGCAUGAAACACUUUCC
rnacentral:lncRNA from 1 species